UCAAACUUAACCUAGCUCUACAAAGAGCCAAGAGACGAAAAUUAGGCACGCCUAGAUUUGAGUUCCCAAUGAAACCUCAUACUCCAUCUUCCCCUCUCCUCAACCUUAAAACUUUUCUGCAUCUGAAGAACCUCAUAUGCCAUAGUCAGUACUGACCUUCUCUUUCGAUCUCUCAAGUUGGGUUCAAUUCGCUCUCUCAGUAUCUUCUCUCUUCCAUCAGUGGUUCAAUUCGGUCCUCACGAAGGGAACGGGAGAGAGAGAAUUUUGGAUUUCUCAAUUUUCCGUUUGCGUUUUCAGCUUCAUAUGCACAAUGAACGACCUCCUCAAGAUAUUAAACAGGAUCCAUCAACUAAACUAGAGUUUAAGCAAAGGUGAUGAUCAGUCACUUCUUACUUGGAAUCUCUGGGACAACAUCAGUAACAAGCAUGUCUGUAGUUGGUCAUCAAAGAGAGGUAGUACCUUGAAGCAUCAAUUCAAGCUUGGUGAGCAGCUUCUGUUUCAAUGUUGAAGUAGAGGAAGAUAAGCACCUUGUAAAGCUUAAUUAUCUUGUAAACUUUCAUAGAAGCUUCAUUCAUUUUGUAACAUUCAUGAGAAAAAUUAAAAUGUUACAUUCUCUUUUGUAUAAGCUUUAUUCCUUUUUGUAUAGCUUUUAUAAAAAAAAAAAAAAAAAAAAAUUGGCAUGCAUGUUUGCAUGCAAGAUUUUUUU